GACCGCGUUGGUCAGUUGGAAGAGCAUUGGGCUAGUAUUCCAAAGGUCGUAGGUUCGAAUCCCACCGUGGCCG
rnacentral:tRNA from 1 species